GCUCCUAUGGUCUAGUGGUAUGACGUUCGCCUCACAUCUGAAUUUCAGUGGACGCGACAGGUCCCAGGUUCGAUCCCUGGUGGGAGCA